UACGUAGGGGGCGAGCGUUGUCCGGAGUUACUGGGCGUAAAGCGCACGCAGGCGGUCUGCUAAGUUUGGAGUGACAGUUGGUGGCUUAACUGCCAAAGUGCUUCGAAAACUGACAGACUUGAGGGCUUCAGAGGGACACGGAAUUCCGGGUGGAGUGGUGAAAUGCGUAGAGAUCCGGAGGAACACCAAAGGCGAAGGCAGUGUCCUGGGGAGCACCUGACGCUCAGGUGCGAAAGCCAGGGGAGCGAACGGG
rnacentral:rRNA from 1 species